AUGGCUAUUCGAUGUGGGUUAACUCUUGGAGCAAAUCUGGGGUGCACGAAUUUGGCAGUCGAGUCUGACAGUCUCAAUGCACUUGAGGCCAUCUCUGAUCCAAACGCAUAUAUGGGAACAGGCGUGCCAAUCAUAGCCGAGUGCUCCCUCUUGACACUGGAGUUUGCUAGUAUCACUUUUGAUCACUUCAGUGGAGAGGCCAAUUCUUCACCAUUAUGUAAACGAUUUGGCUAUCAUUUGAUGAAUAAAGUUUAUGAUGCUAAGAAAAAGACUGAAGGGAUGAGGUUUUUUUUUAUAAGAGGUGCUUACCGAGCUUCUUUCAAGUCUGGCCCAUCUCCCCACAACACCUCGAAGCGUUGA
rnacentral:rRNA from 1 species